AGUAAAUAGAUACCCGGGUAGUCCACGCCGUAAACGAUGAGUACUAGGUGUAGGAGGUAUCGACUCCUUCUGUGCCGCAGUUAAACACAAUAAGUACUCCGCCUGGGAAGUACGGUCGCGAAGAUUAAAACUCAAAGGAAUUAGACGGGGGACCCGCACAAGGCAGCGGAGCAUGUGGUUUAAAUUCGAAGCAACGCGAAGAACCUUACCUGGACUUGACAUCCCCUGAAUAACGUAGAGAUACGCGAAGCCCUUCGGGGCAGGGAGACAGGUGGUGCAUGGUUGUCGUCAGCUCGUGUCGUGAGAUGUUGGGUUAAGUCCCGCAACGAGCGCAACCCUUAUCAUUAGUUGCUACCAUUUAGUUGAGCACUCUAGUGAGACUGCCCGGGUUAACCGGGAGGAAGGCGGGGAUGACGUCAAAUCAUCAUGCCCCUUAUGUCUAGGGUUACACACGUGCUACAAUGGUGAGAACAACGAGAUGCAAUACCGCGAGGUGGAGC
rnacentral:rRNA from 1 species